CCCUACCACACCACACAGGCAGGAGGCAUGGCCUUGCCGUGACAAUAUAUCCACAGAUCUAUCUCCUAAGGACCCCUCCAUAAAGAAGGCCCUUACACUUCAGCAUUCACUUGAGUCUGUGUUGCUGAGGAAGUCUAAAGAAGUCCAACUGGAAACUAAUCAAGUGGAAGUGGCUGCAUCAGCGGUCUACCUGCAAGCUGUUGAAAAGGCGCAGGGCGACAAGGGCAGCAGCAACACAGGCCAGAACAGCCCUCUAGACGAUGGCGGCAAGGGCCAGAACGGCCCUCUGGACGACUACUCGGCAGGCGGCAACAACACUCUGGGCAAUAGUUCCUCUUAAGACAUUUCGGCUUUUACCUACUUUUAAUCUCUGGUGUUAAAUAAAACUGUCCCUGAAAUUGCCGUUUCCCUGUUUGUUGUGUUGUUGUGCAAAACCAAAGAAGUAGACUUUGUGACUUGCAAUGAUUGGCCAUGAACUUGUGUUGAAUGGAAUGGGCUCUUUGAAUCCCAGGCAGUCUAGACUUAUAGCAACUUACCUGGGGCUG
ensembl:lncRNA